UUCGCUGCCUGACCUGCCUGCCACUUAUACUGGGAACCCAGUCCAGCUCACCGUCCCAGGCAUGAUGCGGGUCCCAGCACUGCUUCUGGUUUUCCUGGCUCCUGUCACGCGGGUGUCUUCCAACACGGAAGGGGAGAAGAUGUCAAUCACUAAGGCGACUGGGUCGUCUGUUGAAAUCAUUUGUGAUCUUAUUACCCAAACCCUCAAAUAUAUCCACUGGUACAAGUACCAGGAGGGCACAGCUCCCCAACGCCUUCUUUACUACGACAUCUCCUACUCAAAGGUUACGUUGGAAUCAGGAGUCAGUGAAGGGAAGUACAAAGUUUAUAAAGAGAAGAGCUAUACUUUUGCAAUCUCAAACCUGCAAGAAAGUGAUUCUGGAAUGUACUACUGUGCUGCCUGGGAGAAGCACGUUGUGUGACAGCGCAGGUUGGAA